AGUAGUCAUAUCGCUCGUCUCAAAGAUUAAGCCACGCACGUCUAAGUAUAAAUCGGAUUAUACAGUAGAAACUCGCGAAUCGGCUCAUUAAAUCAGUUAUAGUUUAUUUCGAUAAUACCUUUUACUUCGGAUAACCGUAAUAAUUUUAGAGCUAAUACAUGCGUGAAAGUGCGACUUUUGUGGAAGCACUGUAUUUAUUAGAUACAAAACCAAUCGAGCUUGCUCGUUACCUUGGUGAUUCAUAAUAACUAAACGAAUCGUAUGACUUUAUGUCGACGAUGAUUCAUUCAAAUUUCUGCCCUAUCAACUUUCGAUGGUAAGGUAUUGGCUUACCAUGGUUACAACGGGUGACGGAGAAUUAGGGUUCGAUUCCGGAGAGGGAGCCUGAGAAACGGCUACCACUUCUACGGAGGGCAGCAGGCGCGCAAAUUACCCAAUCCUGACUCAGGGAGGUAGUGACGAAUAAUAACGAUACGUGACUUCGGUCUAGUAAUUGGAAUGAGUACAAUUUAAACCCCUUAAU
rnacentral:rRNA from 1 species